GGAGGUAUGGCUCAAUGAUAGAAUGCAUGCCUAGCAAGCAUGAUGUCCUGAGUUCAAUCCCCAGUAGCUCCA
rnacentral:tRNA from 1 species